UGCCUCACUUAUCUGUCAUCAUGGCUUAUCCACACAGAACGUUGCUGAAGGGGCCACUUCCUGGACACAUACAUGAGCAAACUGAGCAAGCGUUCUCAGCUCUCUCAGAGGCCUUGGAACUGACUGUCCUCACUCCUGUUCCCUGUGGAGAAUCCCAGGAUCUAACCAGCCCCAUGGUCAAAUGGAUAGGGAGAAAAGAACUUGCUGACCCAUCCCUCUCUUUCUUCCUGACCUGAUGUGGAUAUAUGGCCUGGUCCUGUGGCUGCCACCAUGUGACAUGAGGUACAAAAUAUUAGAUUGGAAAGACAACAGCCAAAAAUGGUAGGGCAGAAAAAUAGAAAGAAAAAUACUGUCUUUGAUGACAUCAAUGAACAGCUACAUCAGUACCAGCAGUCACCUCUCUCCAGUCUUCUUGUUAAUGAGAUAUUACACGUCUGUAUUGUUUAGGCCAUUUUUUAACUUGGACUAUGUAUUACUGUUUCAUACUGAAGUUGAUACACGCAUCUUUCUGAGAGCUUCCUAAGACACACACUGAGUUAUGGUGAAAAAUAUAUUCAAAUUAUAUCCCCACAUUAAAUGCAAAAUUAGAUUUCAUAUGGUUGUUUCUUGUAGCACCUUUUAAUGUAUACCUAGGAUAUAAUACCAAACCCUAACUCAGUGAAAACAAUUAUAUAACAGAUAUAGGGCCAUGGGGUCUUAAUAGUUUUUUGUUGUUGUUGUUGAGCUUUGAAGUCAUAUAAACAAUAAAUAAUAUUUUUUAUUUCUUCUUCUAAGGAAUUUUGACCCAUCUAGGU